UUCAGCCUAAUGGGCCUACCUGCUGAA
rnacentral:piRNA from 1 species